GAAUCUGCUUAAGAUAUUACCCAGCAUGAGCCGGCCUGUGCACCAAAGUAGAUGGCCCAGUACUACGUUGGCCAAAAUCAUUCCCCAAAUUGUGCUGCACAUUACGACCAAAGAAUGGUCUAGCAUAUGAGCCACAAAAAUUAGACGGACCACCAAACUAUGCAUUAGUCGAUCCACCUGCAAGGCCAAAUCCAUACCCAGCAUCACUAGGGCACGAAUAGUCAAAAUUAGGAGCCCUAGCUUGCGGCCGAUAAUUGCCACCAUUUUGCAAACCUCCUAACGAAUUAUUUCUAGACCCAAAACCCCCGAACAAACUAGAACGGCCAGCAAACUCAUCCCCUCGUAACCCUUGGCUAUCAUGCAAAGAAGAAAACUGCACCGUGGUAGAGCCGUUCAGGCGGCCAUAAUUACGGUUGAAACAAUAGAAGUAGCAUUGUACCAAAUGACUAAAGCGGCUGCAUAUUUGGCACUGUGUUCGUGGUCGAAACCCUCACCCACGCGAACCUGCUACCACGCGCAUCUCGCAAAUCGGAGGCAACCAUCGUAGCGAUUAAUGUUUCGAUUAGAUGAGCAUGCAUUGAAACCUCACGCGCCGCUCACAUUUUUCUACUCUCAAAUUCCAGAAGAACAACAAGGUGUUGGAAGGGAAAGGUCUCCAUCGAGAAUGAAGCCAACGUUAAAAUCGCAUCAAAGUCUGACGAGAGACCAGUCAAAAUAACUUCCACUUUUUUGGUCUCUGACACCUCCAAUCCAGACGUUGCAAAGUGAAGAUCAUGUUUAAUAUAGGAGAUUUUUGCACCAAUAGAAGCAACGAAAAGAUGAUUCGCUGUACUCCAUAUCUCACAUACAGACUUAGAAGAGGUAAAGUAUGAAAAAAGAAAACUUAUUGUAGAUAGAAGCCAUGAAGCUAACAACUUAUCUUGUUGAUUAAAUGCAUAUGCCUCUGGAUUUGGAGUGAGCCCAACUUCGGGAGAAGUAACGAACUGAGGCAGAGUAGAAAGCGUGCCCUCCAAGAAUCCUUGUAGCACAUACCCCUCUAUGAUCAGCCGAAUAUGGUGCUGCCACUGGACAAAAUUGCCUUCCUCAAGUUUCACUGUGUCAUAGCGCGGAAAUGAAUGGAUUAGAUGUGUGCUGGAGAAGGUCUAACUCACAGGAUCAGCAGAGAUAGAAUCGACUGAUGGUGCCAUGUUGCGAAAGAGAAAUCAGGUACUAGGACUAGGCAACUGAUACCAUGUUAGUAGCUCUAUAAAAUUGAAAACAAACUAAAAGAAAAUUGAAAGAAUAAAAGAGAGUUGAUUGAAA